rnacentral:rRNA from 1 species
AGCAGCCGCGGUAAUUCCAGCUCCAAUAGCGUAUAUUAAAGUUGUUGCAGUUAAAAAGCUCGUAGUUGAAUUUCGGGGUUAGUAGGUUGGUCAUGCCUCUGGUAUGUACUGGUCUCACUGAUUCCUCCUUCCUGAUGAAUCUUAAUGCCAUUAAUUUGGUGUUUUGGGGAAUUUGGACUGUUACUUUGAAAAAUUAGAGUGUUUAAAGCAAGCUAACGCUUGAAUACAUUAGCAUGGAAUAAUGAAAUAGGACGUUCGAUCCUAUUUUGUUGGUUUCUAGGAUUGACGUAAUGAUUAAUAGGGAUAGUUGGGGGCAUUAGUAUUCAAUUGUCAGAGGUGAAAUUCUUGGAUUUAUUGAAGACUAACUACUGCGAAAGCAUUUGCCAAGGAUGUUUUCAUUAAUCAAGAACGAAAGUUAGGGGAUCGAAGACGAUCAGAUACCGUCGUAGUCUUAACCAUAAACUAUGCCGACUAGGGAUCGGAUGAUGUUAAUUUUUAAUGACUCA